UACGAAGGGGGCUAGCGUUGUUCGGAAUUACUGGGCGUAAAGCGCGUGUAGGCGGGUCUUUAAGUCAGGGGUGAAAUGCCAAGGCUCAACCUUGGAACUGCCUUUGAUACUGGAGAUCUUGAGUCCGGGAGAGGUGAGUGGAAUUGCGAGUGUAGAGGUGAAAUUCGUAGAUAUUCGCAAGAACACCAGUGGCGAAGGCGGCUCACUGGCCCGGAACUGACGCUGAGGAGCGAAAGCGUGGGGAGCGAACAGG
rnacentral:rRNA from 1 species